AGGUCAGAGGUGCUGUGUAAGAUUUAAAUAUAACCUCAGGUAAAAAAAAACACACAACCCCAGUCAGAACAGUCAGCUGGCAAACUGUCUUCCAAGAAUCAUCCUAGGUACAACUUUUGCAUAACCCCCUGCUCUUGAUACCUUUGUGGUAGAUUUGCAGCCUUGUAGUGCCAUGAUUCUGGCACUUUGUUCAGCAUCCAAGGCCUGUAGCCUGACAGAUAAGUAAUGUUCUACUGACAUCUUUCCUUGUAAAAUGGAAAGAAAGUGGAUAAUUUAAUAUAGAUGUGACAAGCAGGAGAUAGAUUCCUAGCCUGCAUGGAUUGCCAGAUUCAGCUCUGAUUUGAAAGCAUCCUUUAAAGCUAACGCAGGAUUUUCAUGUCCCUACAACUAUUUCUCCCAUCCUUUAUAGAACCCAGUUCUAUAAAGCUUCAGAGGAUAAACUCAGAACUAUAUUUAUUAAGACUUCUAAAUUUGUUAAAACUUCUAAUGAGAGCCAUUUCACACAUUAUGCAGAACGACCUGCAUCUGAGUAUACACUUAAGGGUGGAUACAUUCAAUCAGUACCUUUGGGACUUUAUGUAUUCACAAACCUUAUUUUUAUCCUUAGAAGUUCUUAGGUGUGCACUUAAAAUAUGCAAUGUGUGCAGUACUCCUAAGAGGUGGCUUGCACAUACAUUUAAUCACUUGGUAAUUCUCUAAACCAAUGCUUAAUUAUCUUUAUUGCUCAUGACUUAGCGUCAGAUGUUAAUGAAUAUUGUAGCUGUGGUGAUUAAUGUCUUAGGGUCCUAAGAGGAGCAAACAAUCAUUUGAUGCUACAGAUUUAUAAACAAGACUUUGGUGUGCAUAUGUUGCUUGCUUGCAAAAAAAAUGUUCUGGCUCUAGUUUCCUUUCCACAAACAUUUUUCUAGAAGUAGAGUAGGAUAACAAUCCUUAAACUGUUUUGGUUUGUUGUCAUGGCAGUACAAACUUCUUUCAGGCUAGGGUUAAUAUGAGUAAAACAAUGUAACCCUUGGCAAGAUCAGGGGAUCCACUUUGACCCAACUUCCAUUUAAAGAUGAAAAAAAUAACGUAAUAGUUAUAGGCAUUAAAAUGAGCAAUUCUGCUCACCUAACCAAUCUCGGAGUCAUGGGCUACUUUUCCCAAAGUAUUGUCUUCAAUACAUUCACUAUCUCUUUCAAGAAGUUCGUGAUACCUCCUCUAGCUGAGAGCCAGAUCAUCCAUGAGGCAAGAUGAGGUGACUGCCUGGGGCAGCAGGAUCCAUAGGGGCAGCAGAUCCCGGUGUAGAUCUUUAUUCCCCAUCUUAUCCCUGAUGUAGAACUUCACUCACCCCUUCCACCCUGGUAGGGAGGGAGGCACCAUUUUGUGGUUCGUCUCAGACGUUGAAAUGACUUGGGCCGGCCCUGCUCCAUCCACCUCUUUCAUUCUCCUCUGAAGUGCAGCUACAAAGGGCAUCUGCUACAUAGGACCAGUGACUCAGUAGGAAGUGCUACCAGUUCACUCAGGGUCAGACUCAUAUUUCUGCAAUAAUUAUGAAUGAGUGUUGUGAUAGAAAACCAUGGAUACCAUAUAGCUGUGGCUCUGUAAAGUGGAGAGUGCAUGGAAUAGAAUUUGCACAUGUUUCUCUGCUCCGCAUGGGUGUUUCUUUACUCAUAUUCGAACAUCUAGAUCACUUCAGUGGAUCAUGCAGGCUUUCUAAAAGGUGCCAUGCUCUCCAGGUGUGUGUGAACAGUUUUGUAUGCAUGCUGGUUUACACAUUGCCUUUCCUUUUGCCCACAAUUCAUAACGUAUGAUGCAAUUGCAAAUGAGAAGCAUCAUAAAGGUUAAACAAACAUUUCCUUUAUAGAUCUUAAUUGAUCUGAAAUGGCAGGAACAUCCAGUUUCAACAAUCAGGAUGCCAGAAAAUGAUUUAAAUUCAUUAAGCCAUUUCUGAUUUACCGAGAGCUAGCAUACUGUUGCUAGAGGGAAGAACUCCGACUUGUGCAGUCUUCGCAAGGAACAGGAGUGCUGUGGAUUGGGAUUGCACUGUUGCCUGAACCUUUAAUCUAAAAUUGGAUGAAACCUUUGUAGAUACUUUCACAGUAUUGCUGGUGCAUAAUGUAAUUUUUCUCUUACCUCUGACAUUGAACAUUUUAAAUAUAUUGUUACAUUUGUACAUUGCUGCUCUAGCCAUUCUUGAAGGGCCUUCUGCCUGCCUCUACUUGUUCACACUGAGCUUCAGUUUUCAGUCAUGCAACUAUAGAGCUGGCUUUGAUAUUUAAGUAACACCAGCUACACUAUGUGGCUGUUGAAGCAACUGUAUAGACUAUGGAGUUUGUCUACAGCAUGUACCCAACUAAGUCCUACUCACAGUAGACCCAUUGAAAUUAAUAGCUGCGUGUUAGUCAUGUCCAUUAUUUUCAAUGGGGCUACCUGUGAGUAGGAGUAGCCCUAUAUUUUUUUUACAUGGAUGUAGACAUAAAUAUUGCCAUUUGUUACAUUUGUAUUUUAUCAUUCGACAACAAGCUUGAAGGAACAUUUUUGCAUCUCUCAGCAACCCUUUGAGGUAGGCUAGCCAGAGGAAGAGAAAAAUUUCAAAGGUGAGCUGCUGAGCUGAGCAGGAAUUUAAACUCAGGUUUUCUACAUCCAAGUGCAAAAUGGAAGUGAAAUUGCAGCCCUAACUUGUGAACAGGGUAAAUUGCUUUGACUCAAGGCUAUUUAAACCAGCAAGGAAAAACCCUGAUAUAAAUAAAUGUUUAAAUCAAGUUUCCCACUGGUACUUCAUCAGAGUUUCCUAAACAAUGGUGCAGCUCUGAUCACUAAACUAUGUUGAUUUGCAAUUAAACAGAGUAUUACUUAGAGUGUUAUUCCAUUUUUACAACCAGGCCUUUUAUCUCUUUGUUGGCAAGCAUUACUUUUUAAACCUAUUCUUAAAUAUUCCCAUAAAGGAUCUUUCUUAUAAUUAACCAUUAAUCCAUGACCGUUUGUAAGGUUAACAGUCCAAUCCUACUUAUGUUUAAUCAGAUGUGAGUCCUGUGGUGCAGCUUUCUACCAGAUUGUAGUUGAGGUUCUGGAAUACAGAAACAUGCACGCUGCAAGAUUUUGUUUUCCACUCUUCUUUUCAGUGUUGUUCCUUUCUUGCUUCCCUCUGCCUUGUCCCAGUCCAACACUCACAAAAAGGUAGCAAACAAAAAUGAAGCGUCCUUUGACUUUGAUAGGUUUCUGAAAGUUACUGGGCAUACCAGAGCAGUUUAUUUUUUGUUAGGAGGAGACACAAUGCCUAUGCUACAAUAAUCAGAGUAGGCCCAUUGAAACUAAUGGACUUAAGUUAGUCAUGUCUAUUAAUUUCAACUCUGAGUAGGACUUGCGUUGGAUAGAACCCUGUGUUUGUAGGUAGGGUGCAAAUAUUCAUAUUUUAAACCUGAUCAAAUUGGUAUUUUAUUUACAUAGAAAAGUGUCCUGUAACUCAAGUGUAUCUUGCAGAAUCAUUUAUUCAGUUUAGAGAUUAACAGUGAUGCCAACACAGCUUUAUAAAUAAGCACUCAACAGUUAUCAGUCUGCGCAUCAUAGGCCUACCAGGGGCUGGCAGAGAGUGAGAGCUGUAUUUCUGUGUUGGCUGCAGAGGAGGGAUGGAGCAGUCCACGAACCCACUUCCUCACCUGGACAGAAUUCCUGGUAGCCUAUGGCUACCAGACCAGCCUACUAUAUAUUUUGGAAAGUGCUUUGUCUGAAUAUCUGGUUGUUGGGUUGUUUAUUCUCUAUGGGUUUGGCAGCCUCUCAAGAUACCGUCACAAAACAAGGGACGGUACAAGGGUUCCUGAGGUGGAGGCAGUGCUUUUCCUUGAUAUUUGGAUGCAGGCCACCAUUUUGAAUCAAAGCGACACACUGAAACAUGACUUUGGCAUGUCUUCGCCCAUUUUUUGGCGUAGACUUGGCCCCUUCCCCUUGUUACCAGAACCAAGUUCAAAACGCUGUCCCUCCAAAGGCACUAAAGAGACAGCAGGUGGAAAGGUAAAAGUUUGUUCUAAGCUGCAGCAUAGAGACUCAGCAGGAUAUCGCCAGAAGUUCAAGCACAAAGUAGCAAACACAGAAAUGCAUAAUUUCUUGCAUCACUAUUGGCUAGGAACGCGUAUGAACAAAGCAUGGUAUUCUUCUACUUGGCUAUCACCCUUAUUCCACUGAAAUCUUUCCCCCACAUUUUUUCCUUUGGAAAUAACAAUAACUAAAAAAAUGCCUUUUAAAUUAUAACAGAAAAUUAAUGUCCCCCCCCCUUUCCAUAGUUAUUAUUUACAUGGGCGUUCAAUUUUUACUAAUUUUUAGCUGCUCUUUCUGUUAUUUAUUUGUACUUUGCUGAAGUGUGAAAACAACAUCAAGUAUGCUAUAUUUUAGAGUCACUGCUGAUGCUGCUCUUUUGCUGGUGUACAUCAAGAGUCUCUGUGAUUUCAGUGGAAGAAUGAGACAGACCCUUGUUAAUAUUAUCUGCCUAUCACUGCAGCCUUCAAGCCACUUAGUCCAGAAUAGCCCCAUUUGCCUCCAUGGGACUAGCUCAGAGAAAAGCAAUCUGAAAAGCACAGCCUUUGUCAAGUACUAAUUCCCUGGUGCAGUUAUAAAAGCACUUUUAUUCCCUCCAGCUUCCCCACUUCCACUUUUGGCUAGCUUUAAGCUGUUCUGAUCUCUUAAAUGUAGGAAGAUAUUAAUAAAAGAUGAUUUAAACAAUAUGAUCUGAGUUUUCCUUGACAGAUUGUAUGAGGCAAUGGAAACUUUCUAUUCUGGCACAGACAACUUUUAAAACCACUCAAAGGGCUGGAGAAACACAUUUUUAUAGUAGUAACUGAACUUUGUAGUAUUAUUUCAAGUAAUGUGCUCUCUGCUCCCCGCCCAUCCGUCCCACACUUGCACCAAACUGUUUCAUGCUAAUAGAUGCAAGAUACAAAUAGUUCUUUGAAUAUUUUAAUCCCAUUUUUCUUAUCUGAGCCAUUGAUUCAUUCAUCGGUCUGAUUUAUCCAUUUGACUGCAUGCUAAAAAGCUGUCCAAUUUAACUGACCCAGUCAUGCGCGCUCUCUUGCCACCAGGACCAAAUCAUCUCACUGUUUAUUUCAGAGGAUGUGAUCCAGAAUAGUGCCCUGCUGCACUUGUGAAAGACUUCUAUCCUACCUCAUCAAUAGAAGUAAUCAAACUUAACGGCUGGACAUUUUUAGUACCGGUAAGUUGUUUUGAUGGGAUGUAAAAAAACAAACAAACUAAACCCACAGCAACCUCUGAUUCCCCUCUACAAGUAAACUAGAAGAGAACAGAAUAUUCUUGUUCACAAAGCUGUUUUCAGUAUGGCUGAGGGCUGAUCCACACUUAAGCACAGGUCCAAGAGGUUUUCCAUUUGCCCUGGCUCAUUCUCCUGGGAAAACUUGCUGCCUGCCGCUGAACCACUCAGACCCAUGUCUAGAAAGCACAGAACAAGCAGAAAAUCUCUUGGCCCCUUUGUGUGACUUUUGCAGCCUAUUUAAUUCAGUUCAGAACCACUUUAACUGCCAUGACGUCUUCCAAAGAACUAUGGCAACUGUUCUGUGAGGAGGGAGAAAAUUGAGUUCUAGAUUGCUAGCAGCUUUAUAGAACUGGAUUUCUCUUAUUUCCUAAAUGAGAGCUAUAAAAAUGGAUUUGAAAGUGGUUUCAGUGGUUGGUAUUAUUACUAUUAUUGCAACUACUACUACUACUACUACUACUAUUAUUAUUAAAAUGUGUAUACUGCCCUUUAUCCAUCGCUCUCAGGGUGGUUCACAUAAUUAAAUUACAAUAUAUAAACCAC